GAAGGGCCAUCGCUCAACGGAUAAAAGGUACUCCGGGGAUAACAGGCUGAUACCGCCCAAGAGUUCAUAUCGACGGCGGUGUUUGGCACCUCGAUGUCGGCUCAUCACAUCCUGGGGCUGAAGCCGGUCCCAAGGGUAUGGCUGUUCGCCAUUUAAAGUGGUACGCGAGCUGGGUUUAGAACGUCGUGAGACAGUUCGGUCCCUAUCUGCCGUGGACGUUUGAGAUUUGAGAGGGGCUGCUCCUAGUACGAGAGGACCGGAGUGGACGAACCUCUGGUGUUCCGGUUGUCACGCCAGUGGCAUUGCCGGGUAGCUAUGU
rnacentral:ncRNA from 1 species